rnacentral:misc_RNA from 1 species
GAAAUGCGAUAAGUAAUGUGAAUUGCAGAAUUCAGUGAAUCAUCGAAUCUUUGAACGCACCUUGCGCUCCUUGGUAUUCCUUGGAGCAUGCCUGUUUGAGUAUCAUGAAAUCUUCAAAGUAAAUCUUUUGUUAACUCAAUUGGUUUCUACUUUGGUAUUGGAGGUCUUUGCAGCUUCACACCUGCUCCUCUUUGUUCAUUAGCUGGAUCUCAGUGUUAUGCUUGGUUCCACUCGGCGUGAUAAGUUAUCUAUCGCUGAGGACACUGUAAAAGGUGGCCAAGGUAAAUACAGAUGAACCGCUUCUAAUAGUCCAUUGACUUGGACAAUACUUUUAUGAUCUGAUCUCAAAUCAGGUAGGACUACCCGCUGAACUUAAGC